ACAUCUGCUGCCGCGGUAUUUUGUGAGGGGAGAGGGCAUCGGCGCGACGCCACGUCAACCUCGCUCUCGGCAGCCUGUGUUAGGAGGCUCUUGGUUUAAUCCGCGCGAUCCUUGUCCGCGCCAGCUCUCGCCUGCGUUCUAACUGCGCCUCGGUAAGACCAAAUAAAAAAACCCCUCGCUUUCCCUCAAAUAUUCGCAAC
rnacentral:lncRNA from 1 species